rnacentral:Y_RNA from 1 species
GGUUGGUCCAAGUGCAGUGGUGUUUACAACUAAUUGAUCACAACCAGUUACAGAUUCCUUUGUUCCUUCUCCACUCCCACUGCUCCACUUGACCAAAUAAAA